AAAUGAAUAUUAUGUUUUAAAAGCAUUCAUAAGACUUGGUAACUUUAAAGCCCGCCCUCCAUCACUUGCCUUCCCCUUCGUCAUCUGUCUUGCCCGAAUACAGGGAAUCUUAUAGAUAAUAACUUCCAGGUGCCCCAGGUGCCAGCCGUAGGUGUAUUAGAAUGUAACCAUCUUCCCAGGAGAUCCCCGAAUGAUGGGUCCCGACCUCCAGGGACCCAGCUAAGACUCCAAAGCACUUCAGCCUCAUUAAACGGGCUGAUCUGUGAUUCUGUCCUCUGGGAUACCGAAUGUUGUUGCCUCACUCUUCUUCCAUCAGAACUUAAUUUAUCUCUGAGUAAAUCCAGGAGGUCACCUUUUCGGGUCCAUCUCCAUUAUAACCAGCCUUUCCUCCUCCAAACCCCCGGCUGCAGACCUCACACUUAUCCCAAAGCCCUGCAGUUUAACCCACCCGCGCGCAUCACCCCAAUACGCCGGCUGGUGGAGAGCCGGGGGCGGAUCCGUCUGAGCGCGUGCACGAAUUCCUCGGCGGCUCCAGGCGCUCUCGCUGCGUUACCGCGGAAGCGUCUCCUCUCGCGGGAGGGAUUUGAAGCCCGGCGGGAACCAGGCUUGCCAAGGCCGAGUCUAAGGGGACCGAGGCAAGAGGCGAUCGCGAGCUGCAGCUCCGAGCAGCGCGUGGGCCGGGGAGACACGGCUGCUGGUCUCAGCCGGACUGUCGCAGCAACAGCGACAGAGCCACCGGCUGAUGGUGGAUCCGCUCCUCUUCCGGGUCCAGCCGCGACCCAGGCGAUAAAUCCCAGAGUGACGCACAGCCCCUGCGAGUAUCAGCCCCUGCACAACCCCUCAGAGUAUCUCUGGGAUUGUUGACGUUUGUAUUCCGGUUUACCGUGUCUACUUUCUUAGACUACUAUAGUGUUUUUGAUAAUCACAGUAGUCUUGUGUGGGCUUUUAGGUUAAGACAACCAUUGAUUUUUUUUAAAAAAGAAUAAACUAUAAAUUCAUUAAUUAGAUGUACAUAUGUAUCUUUCCCUGUAAUGAUUUUUAAUGAAACACAUUUUGAAAUCACU
rnacentral:lncRNA from 1 species